UGACACCCUCACAUGCAUUCCUUGGAAAAUCUGAACAAAAUGAGUGAGAACUCACUACCGUCUCCUCAUCGAAACUGAGGUCCAGCACGUUGCCUCCCUUGGGGUUAAGGGCGGGACUGGUUAGCAGUGAAGGCAUCUCCGACUGUGUCACACACAUGCAUGAAAGAGCCAGAUCACUACCAUUUGUGAGGCUCCUGUCUGAGGGUGGGCCGUGUACAGAUGCUGGAGUGGCUCUUGGAAUGCGAGAUCUGUGGUGAAGGGCACUGGAGCAUAGAGGCAUCUGGCUUGUCCAGUGGUGGCAGGAGUCAACAGUAGAUCCUGGCUGAGCUCUUGAGCUGUUCACUCGAAAAGGUGAAGUUGCCAGGCAUGACUGUCCGUCACCCAGGAGACGAAGCCCCGCCAAUGAGGUGGUGAAUCGAGGUGCAGGGGAGUCUGACGAGAAAUGUGGUGGGCCCAGGUUGCUGCCAGUUCUUUUGGAAUCACCAAGCACAUGGAGAAGUUGCCUAAUAUGACUGCCCAUCACCCAGGAGAUGAAGCCGAGCCAGUGAGGCAGUUACUUGAGGUGCGGAGGAGUCCGGCGAGAAGUGUGGCGGGCACAGGUUGCUGCUACUGCUUUUUG
rnacentral:lncRNA from 1 species